rnacentral:lncRNA from 1 species
GGCUCUCACUCAAUCUCUCUCUAUACUCUCUUUUCCUCCAUUGAUGUUCAUUGAAGAAAGCUUAGAGAAGCUUCAUCAAACACUACUAUGAGAUAAUCCACCAUCCAAUCCAAUCAAAUACUAUCAUAUCUCAUCAAAUUCAAGAAGCUAGAGCUAAGAUCAAAGUUGGAGCAAAGUCUUGAUCACCUUUUAGAUCCUUGAGUAAGUGAUCUUAGAUUAUUUAUUUGAUCAUAUUAAUGAUAUGUGAGUGAGUAUAUGAUCAUGAUUGAGCAAGGAAAUCAUAUAUGAUCAUGAUUGAGCAAGGAAAUCACCCAACUUAUUUUUAUGAAACUUUCGAAAAUUAGGAGCUUGAAACCCUACGAAUUUUGUUGUUUAUUUUCUUGACUUGGCUUGAGUUAUAUGAUGAUGGAUUUGAGUUUAUGAGAUGAUCUAGAUGAUUAAUGAUGGAUGAGAUUGAAGCUUGAGGUUGAGAAGUGAAAAAUGAAAAAUGUUAGUUUGAGGAAGAAGAUGAUAUAUAUGUGUUUCUAUAUGUGAUUUUGUUAUAUGAUGUUGAUUUGAGUGAGUUCUUGAGCAUGCUAUGAUGUUAAGUGAUGGUUUAGAUUGAUGAUUAGAAGUGAUGAAAUGAGUUUUGGGAUGAGUUGUUGUUGAGAAUUAUGAUGUUAUAUUCAAGUUAGAGAUAUUAUUAAGAUAUAUUAGUUUUAAAUACUAAAUUGGAGAAUUUCGUAGGCCUACUGACCUACUGUGAUCGAUGGUUUGUCGAUGUCUAAUAGUUUUGAAAAUUUUAUAGCAAGUUUCUACAUGAGUCUUGAGUACCCUGGUAAAAUUUCAAGCUAUUUCAACUUCGUUUGAUAUUUCUUUAAAAUGCAAAACCUAAACUGCACAUUAUUACCGAGAAUUUCAGAGAACAGGGGAACGAGUUAUUCAUUUAAGUAGCUUCCUAUGUGAUCUAGCUUUCCAACUUUUUAUGGUAUCUAACCUUAUUGUGUUAGCUAGAUAUCCACCAAAGUUGAGCCCAGUUUGACAACGUUUACUAUUUUUCAAAAAUUGUAACCUUCGGUUGCACAAAACUGCCAGAAAUGGUAGAUCGUGGUAAAAACGUCAUAUCUCUCAAACCACUUGGAGCUUUCGACUCUAUUUUUUUUAAAUGAAACUAGACUCGAAGAUAUUUCUUUCAGUAUGAGUCUCGAGUCCAGGAGAUGUCGGAGUCAGAACAGUUUAAAUUUGAAGUUGAACCAGUGUAAAAACAGAGCAUGUUUUAAUGAUGUUUGAUUGUGAUUCUUAUGUGCCUUAUGUGAUUGUGUUGCCUAUGUGUUUGAAUUUUCACUAAAUUAUUUUAGUGAAUUUAAAUCUCUUGAUUUAAAUUUUAAUAUUUAAGGUUGGGACUAUUUAUUUUAAAUGAGGUCCGUUCUUUUAUUUAAUUUAUUGAUGGACUUUAAAAAUGAAAACAAAUUUUGGGAUUAAACCCUCAUUUUUAUUAUAUUUCAAGGCUUUUUGAGUAUGGAUUUUAAAUGGUUAAAAUGUUUUAUUUCAUCUCAAUGGAUUUUAAAAUGUUUUAUUAUUUAUAAAUGAAUAAUGGAAUUUCUUANUGAUUUCUUUUAUGUUCAUAUGAACUUGUGAUUUUAAUGAUACUAAACUUGAGGAUUUUAUUUCUUUCUGUUUAUUGUUUACGUGAUUACGUGAUAUUAUGUGGUUAGUCACGAGGUUAUGUUGGUUUCGAUUGUCUUUAAUGGAACGAAUUAUGGAUGCUAGAACCCUAAAACACUAAAAGAAAAUCGAGUAAGGAUAUUGUUGGUGUCCUUAACUCAAGAAAUUUAGUUUUCAAGUAUUUAUUCAUUAAAUUUUGAAACCCGGCGUGACGAAUUAUAGAAUGUUAAGUAUUUUCCCUAAGAUAUUAAGUUAGCUUCACGAGACCUAUUAAGAAUAGAAUUUCUUGUAGGCUUUGUGAUGACCAGGAGGAUUAGCGCUACUUUUCCAAGACAGGUUUAUAUGUGUAUGAUCUUCAGGCUUUGCCUAUCCAGGUGGGCUUACUUUCCAAAUGUACAAAGUAUGAUUGAGUUAUUAAGCUCUAAAUGUUUCAAUGAAAUGCAAAUUGUUUAUUUAAUGUAAUGAAAACUGUUUAUCCAAUAAAAUGUUUAUGUGCACUCUGCUCUGUUUAAGGCUCGCCACAACGAAUCAAUUGAGGUUCUCUUAUAGCCUAACACGUUAUUUGAGAAUUGUGUACACCAUUAGCUGACUCGGUGGGUUGAUCUCCAUUCGGGCACUAACUAAGAGGCGUUAUAAGGGUGCUUGCUGGAUGUGUUCCGAAGCAUGUAAUGUAAGGGCCUGCCUGGGUAGCGUCCCGAGGUCAAUUCAACUUGUCUGAGUUACGUCCUCUGGGCAAGUGCAAUGGGAGAAAUGGAUCCGUCGGUGGCUAAGAGGUCCGGGAUCACAGCGAGUAACAGAAAGGGAGUGUGACAUGUGCGCACAAAUGAAAAAUGUUUUAACAUGCUUAGAAGUUCUUUCAAUUUAAAACCUUCUAAGUCAUGUCAAGUAUGAUUGGAUAAACUGUCUUUAAGAAAAUAUGAAAUGUUUAUGAAAAUGCAUGCCCACUAAGUACAUUAGUACUUAGCCCAAAAAUACUUUCAAAUGUUUUCAGGUUGGUUGGACGGUGCUGACGGG